GAAAAUGUUUAGUUGGGAAUUGGAUGUGUUACAAAAAAUGUCAACGGUUUAACUUUGCCCACUGGUCUAGAAUUGAGCAAGUUGAAUGUUGCUUGAUAUUAGCUAAGCUAAUUAACUAGCUAAUAUGCAUUAACUAAUGAUCUCCUGUUUCAGCAGCUUGAAUUUCAUCCACAUUUGCUCUGUAAGUUGACGUGUAAUUUUGGCUACGUGUUCAAGAUUUAAACGAGUGCAUUUUGAUCUGCUUGCUUCUGCCAGGGGGCAAGUCUGGGGGCGACAGGAUAUGAUGCAGACACAGAAGACACACAUGAUGAGAAGGACAUUUUGGAUGGGGAACCAGCUGCAUCUCAAGAAGCUGCGUCUCCACAACCGUCAGACGAGCUGGGAGGAGCUGAUGAUGAAACAGAACCAGCUGCAUCUCAAGAAGCUGCAUCUCCACAACCGUCAGACGAGCUGGGAGUGGAUGAUGAUGAAACAGGAGAAGCACAUAUUGCCGCCAAAAACUCCUCUAGUCCGCAGGAAACAGAGCGACCGAAAAGCCCAGGCCUGAUCCAGGUUGAGACGCCGACCAAGCGCUUCAAGAAAUAAUGUAUACAUAAUGUAAUGUAUAAGUGUAUAAGCUGCAUGUGACAUUUUUUCAAAUAAACACGUGUUGACUUGGAGUUGUUUGUGUUGUGAUGGAG
rnacentral:lncRNA from 1 species